rnacentral:lncRNA from 1 species
UCCGUGAUUCAAAAGAUCUUGAAUCAUCUUCUUAAAAAUUUACAUUUGAUAACAUUGAAGAGCUAGGUUCUGAUUUCUCUCGGUGAUGCUUCUUUAACUUUACCAGAAAGAAACACAAGAAAAAAGAUAAAAAAAAAUAACCUACUUCCAAAAUGAUUUGUCAAUUUUUUUUUCAUGCUGUAGAUUUUAAAUGAAUGUAAUUCUCAAAUCAAG